CUGUGUCAUAGCAGCUGGACUGGUUACAGUCAUUGAGAAUUUGAGUAAGAUGAGGAAAAAGCACUGAACACUGGGGUUGGCAAGAUGGAGGGUCUCAGGGACUUAACAAGACAAAUCUUAAUGUGAUGGAGGGGACAAAGAGCCAUUGACUGGGUGAUGAUGAAGUGGGGCGGGUGUGGAGAGAUGACACAGGAAGCAUGGUCAGCCUUUUGGAGGAGUUUUGUUGAAGAGAAAAACAGAGAAAUGGUGUGAUGAAGAAAAUGGAGAAUGUGGGUAGGAAGGAAUUUUUUAAACAUGCACUGGAGAGUGGAAUCAUUACAGAAAUGAAGUCCUUGGGGGACUAAUUAGCGCACGAUCACAUCCCACUCAGGUACCAACGCCUGCAACAACUGCAUCCCCCCCCACGAUCCCCGCAGCUUUGCCUAGAUGUGCCCCGCAUCGCAGGUGCAUUACCCAGGAAGAGCUCGUCGGGGCAGCACCUAACUGACAGGUAACUUCGCUGUUUUAGUUUCGAAGUCAUUAGUCUUACGAAGCUGCGAGAGCACAACGGCGCUGACGCACGGCCCACGGCCUUUCCUGAGGAGCUGGCGACACCGCGGAUGUGAACGAGCCCAGAGUUUGCUACUCUUGUCCCCUGGACUCAGAAGGAGCGGGAUUCUCUCUUCCUCCAGGGCACUCCGGGCCAGAUGCACACCGGGGCGGGUGUUACUGGAGCUAACGAACUACAGGAGGAAAAGCAGCAACCACAAACUCUGGGCAAACCAAGCUUCUUAUCAGAAGACAUCUUCAGAAAUGAUGGGUUUGAUCCACAGCGAGGGCGCUUCCUUCACCUCGGAAUGCUUAAGUAAAGCAGUCUGAGCCCAGUGACAACUGUGACAGGCGGGGAAGGAUCUCCCUGCUUUGUGGCUCUCAGCUGUGUCAAGCAGGAGCCUCGGGCCCCAGGGCGUAUGUGUGGAUCCCCAGGGGCGCCUCAACACUCUGUGGCUCCCCAGACUCUCACUUUUGGAGAUGCCCUCCAUGCCCAUCAAACAGACUGGAGGUGGAGAGGUGCCCCGGCAAUGAACUCUCACAGCCUGGCGUGGGAGCCUGGCCUCCUACCCACUCCUUAGGAAUGCUUUAUUUAUCACCCGAUGCAGAAGUACUUACUGAGGCCCAGAUAAUCUGGCUUUUUUCCCCCCUCAAUUAUUCAUGAGAUUUAGGCAAAAUUGCAUAUUUUUAAAUUUCAUCUUUUUGGUAUAAAUUACUGAAAUCGCAGGCAAAGAAUCCAUCCAGGAUCUGUUUGCUAGAAGCCUCUCUAGGUUAGCUCCGCAUCAUUACAACUACUUCUCUUUGAACUUUGAGAAUGGAGGAUCCUGAAAAUUUGACAGUUGGUGGCAAUUUAUGUAACUUGUUCUAUUACUGUUGGCAGAAUGUGGGAAAACAUUGGAAUGAAAAUCUGAAUCUAUAAUACACACACACACACACACACACACACACACACACACACACACGUUUAUAUAAUGUCUCAACAGCAGCAAAAGACAGACGGGACCAUGCUGGGACCAGAGAGGGAUCCGAGGUCAUUUGUUGAAUGGGGCUUACCACUCAGGCACACUUCGUUUUUAUUCCUUAGUUAUUAAUUAGUGUCUACCUACCAGUGACUACAUGAAACCCUGGCCUGCCUCCCUCCUUCCUCUGUGCCCUCUCACCUGCUACCCUGGUGUCACUGGGGACAGCUCUGGUCACCAGCUCCCUAGCACACACAUGUCUCCUGAGCCACAGGAACUACAGACCCAGAAAUGUUAAUUCCACCCACCUCCCCUUGGCCCGCUGAAAUCUCUGUGUGUGCGCUCACCAUUCCCUCUGCCGGACACCCCUCUACCUUUGCUGGCUACUCCAACUUUUGCCCUUCAAAGUCCGGCGCCAACCCCACCUUGGGAAAGGCUCUGCCAUGACUGCCCUACCUAACUCCUCUGCCUCUGACUUCAUAGCUUGGCCUCUAGGCGUGUGGCCAUGUCCGUCUCACUAAGCCAAUGCUCCUUAGUUAUCAAGGGGGUAGAAAUAGCAACUAACCUUUGUAAUGAGCUUUGGACAUAUAAAGCCUUUGCAUACGUUUGACCCUUCAGAGACCCCUCAAGGUGGGUUAACAUCCCAUUUUCCACACAUGUAAACAGAACAGUUCAAGUAGCUGGUCCCAAGUGACACAAGUGAUGUGGUGAUACUGAGGCUAGGUGAGUCAGAUCUACAGGCUCAGGCACUUAUAGGGCAUGGUAUCCCUCCCCACCCCCCUCUUGAGUGUGGGGUCUUGGCUCGUUCCUCUCUUUCUCCCCCAAGCACCUGUGGCUGUUGGUAAAUAUUUGUUGAAUUGAACUGGGGCAGGAGGUAGAUAAGAAAGGGGUCUAUGAGCUGGGUGAUCGAAUCCCACGUCAUGCCUGGAGGUCACAAGGAAACUAACUCUCUUUACACAGCUAGAUCUCCUACAAGCCUCCCGACAAGGGGCUGUUCUCUCUUGUGCCAGAAGCACUUGCAUUCCUCUGUGGCUCUGUUUCUAAAGAAACCGGGACGUGGAUGUAUGCCAGCAGAUAGCAGGACUGAGAAACACCCCAGUGUGAAACUACUGAUAUUUGAGAUGUCCUGAUCCUUUGAAAAAUUACAUGUACUAAUAAGAAUUAAUAAAACGUAUGCACUCCAGUGAAGUAUAAAGACAGGUUUAUGAUGAACUGUUUCUGUAAAUUAAAAGUUUUCAAGAAUACUGUUAAAGUAUUCAUUUUUUUCCCAUAAUGCUGCUUUAAAAAUGUUUUCCCACAUGGUUCUGUCACUUUAACUUUCCUUAUCAUUCUUUUACGAACUGUAAGGUAAGAAAUAAUAAGUGUAGUUUAUGGAAAACUCUUGUUCUCCAGAGUGUAUGAAAGCCUUGUCAUAGGAGGAUUAGAAAUGUUAAGACAGUACUCAGAGGACAGAGACUGCUGACAGGCGGGGCGCCCAUAUUCUGCUGAUCCAGCCCAGACCCUGGCUUCUGGGAGCUGGAAAUGGCCCAGUGCCCGGGUGUGAGGCCGCUCAGGAAUGCAGGUGAAACGGUGUGUACUCCAGUGUCCCAGCACAAGGACACAUCACAGGUCGACCAGCCAUCCCAGAUUUAGCACUGAAAACCCUGCAUCCUGGCAUACUUCUCAGUCUGGAGCAGACCAGGAAAGUUGGCCACCCCAUCAAGGUGCUAUCCAGAACAAGGAUCAUAAAAGAAUGUUGAAGCUACUGAGGACUUUUAGUGCUCAUUGGUUUACCAAUCACUAUUAUCAGGCCUUCCUCUCAUUUUGAGCAACAAAAGGUUAACAUUUGACCUCACUUAGGAAAAAGAGUCUCGCUGCAGUUCUAUCAAUACAUCUGGAAUGUCGCUCAUGCAA